rnacentral:rRNA from 1 species
GACGAACGCUGGCGGCGUGCUUAACACAUGCAAGUCGAACGGAAAGGCCCUGCUUUUGUGGGGUGCUCGAGUGGCGAACGGGUGAGUAACACGUGAGUAACCUGCCCUUGACUUUGGGAUAACUUCAGGAAACUGGGGCUAAUACCGGAUAGGAGCUCCUGCUGCAUGGUGGGGGUUGGAAAGUUUCGGCGGUUGGGGAUGGACUCGCGGCUUAUCAGCUUGUUGGUGGGGUAGUGGCUUACCAAGGCUUUGACGGGUAGCCGGCCUGAGAGGGUGACCGGCCACAUUGGGACUGAGAUACGGCCCAGACUCCUACGGGAGGCAGCAGUGGGGAAUAUUGCACAAUGGGCGGAAGCCUGAUGCAGCAACGCCGCGUGCGGGAUGACGGCCUUCGGGUUGUAAACCGCUUUCGCCUGUGACGAGGCGUGAGUGACGGUAAUGGGUAAAGAAGCACCGGCUAACUACGUGCCAGCAGCCGCGGUGAUACGUAGGGUGCGAGCGUUGUCCGGAUUUAUUGGGCGUAAAGGGCUCGUAGGUGGUUGAUCGCGUCGGAAGUGUAAUCUUGGGGCUUAACCCUGAGCGUGCUUUCGAUACGGGUUGACUUGAGGAAGGUAGGGGAGAAUGGAAUUCCUGGUGGAGCGGUGGAAUGCGCAGAUAUCAGGAGGAACACCAGUGGCGAAGGCGGUUCUCUGGGCCUUUCCUGACGCUGAGGAGCGAAAGCGUGGGGAGCGAACAGGCUUAGAUACCCUGGUAGUCCACGCUGUAAACGGUGGGUACUAGGUGUGGGGUCCAUUCCACGGGUUCCGUGCCGUAGCUAACGCUUUAAGUACCCCGCCUGGGGAGUACGGCCGCAAGGCUAAAACUCAAAGGAAUUGACGGGGCCCCGCACAAGCGGCGGAGCAUGCGGAUUAAUUCGAUGCAACGCGUAGAACCUUACCUGGGUUUGACAUGGAUCGGGAGUGCUCAGAGAUGGGUGUGCCUCUUUUGGGGUCGGUUCACAGGUGGUGCAUGGCUGUCGUCAGCUCGUGUCGUGAGAUGUUGGGUUAAGUCCCGCAACGAGCGCAACCCUUGUUCACUGUUGCCAGCACGUUAUGGUGGGGACUCAGUGGAGACCGCCGGGGUCAACUCGGAGGAAGGUGGGGAUGACGUCAAGUCAUCAUGCCCCUUAUGUCCAGGGCUUCACGCAUGCUACAAUGGCUGGUACAGAGAGUGGCGAGCCUGUGAGGGUGAGCGAAUCUCGGAAAGCCGGUCUCAGUUCGGAUUGGGGUCUGCAACUCGACCUCAUGAAGUCGGAGUCGCUAGUAAUCGCAGAUCAGCAACGCUGCGGUGAAUACGUUCCCGGGGCU